GUGGGGAAUAUUGCGCAAUGGGGGAAACCCUGACGCAGCAAUACCGCGUGAGUGAAGAAGGUUUUCGGAUCGUAAAACUCUUUUAUUGGGGAAGAAGAAGUGACGGUACCCAAUGAAGAAGUCCCGGCUAACUACGUGCCAGCAGCCGCGGUAAUACGUAGGGGACAAGCGUUGUCCGGAAUCACUGGGCGUAAAGGGCGCGUAGGCGGUUUUAUACGUCAGAUGUGAAAGGUACCGGCUCAACCGGUGACGUGCAUUUGAAACUGUAAGACUUGAGUACUGGAGAGGCAAGUGGAAUUCCUAGUGUAGCGGUGAAAUGCGUAGAUAUUAGGAGGAACACCGGUGGCGAAGGCGACUUACUGGACUGUAACUGACGCUGAGGCGCGAAAGUGUGGGGAGCAAACAGGAUUAGAAACCCUUGUAGUCC
rnacentral:rRNA from 1 species